UUGCAUUUCCCAAUAGCGGAGGAAAAGAAACCAACAGGGAUUGCCCUAGUAACGGCGAGUGAACAGGCAAGAGCUCAGAUUUGAAAGGCACUUUUGUGCCGUUGUAUUCUGAAGUUAGGGUCCUGAGAAACGAUGCUUAAGUCUUCUGGAAAGGAGCGCCAUGGAGGGUGAUAGCCCCGUCUAGCAUUGACCUCAUAUAGGAUCUUAACAUGGAGUCGAGUUGUUUGGGAAUGCAGCUCAAAUGGGUGGUAUGCUCCAUCUAAAGCUAAAUAUCUGCGAGAGACCGAUAGUAAACAAGUACUGUGAGGGAAAGAUGAAAAGAACUUUGAAAAGAGAGUGAAAAAGUACGUGAAAUUGUUGAAAUGGAAGGGUAGGCCGCUAACCAUGUAGAGCCGUGUUUGGGGGGAAGAUAAAUGCUGUAGAAUGUAGCUCCUCGGAGUAUUAUAGAUGCAGUUCAUAUUCCCACCCGAGCGCGAGGUCUCAGGUUCUACUAAUAGCU
rnacentral:rRNA from 1 species